AUGCAAGUCGAGCGGAGAGAGGUAGCUUGCUACCGAUCUUAGCGGCGGACGGGUGAGUAAUGCUUAGGAAUCUGCCUAUUAGUGGGGGACAACAUUUCGAAAGGAAUGCUAAUACCGCAUACGUCCUACGGGAGAAAGCAGGGGAUCUUCGGACCUUGCGCUAAUAGAUGAGCCUAAGUCGGAUUAGCUAGUUGGUGGGGUAAAGGCCUACCAAGGCGACGAUCUGUAGCGGGUCUGAGAGGAUGAUCCGCCACACUGGGACUGAGACACGGCCCAGACUCCUACGGGAGGCAGCAGUGGGGAAUAUUGGACAAUGGGCGCAAGCCUGAUCCAGCCAUGCCGCGUGUGUGAAGAAGGCCUUAUGGUUGUAAAGCACUUUAAGCGAGGAGGAGGCUACUGAAGUUAAUACCUUCAGAUAGUGGACGUUACUCGCAGAAUAAGCACCGGCUAACUCUGUGCCAGCAGCCGCGGUAAUACAGAGGGUGCAAGCGUUAAUCGGAUUUACUGGGCGUAAAGCGCGCGUAGGCGGCUAAUUAAGUCAAAUGUGAAAUCCCCGAGCUUAACUUGGGAAUUGCAUUCGAUACUGGUUAGCUAGAGUGUGGGAGAGGAUGGUAGAAUUCCAGGUGUAGCGGUGAAAUGCGUAGAGAUCUGGAGGAAUACCGAUGGCGAAGGCAGCCAUCUGGCCUAACACUGACGCUGAGGUGCGAAAGCAUGGGGAGCAAACAGGAUUAGAUACCCUGGUAGUCCAUGCCGUAAACGAUGUCUACUAGCCGUUGGGGCCUUUGAGGCUUUAGUGGCGCAGCUAACGCGAUAAGUAGACCGCCUGGGGAGUACGGUCGCAAGACUAAAACUCAAAUGAAUUGACGGGGGCCCGCACAAGCGGUGGAGCAUGUGGUUUAAUUCGAUGCAACGCGAAGAACCUUACCUGGCCUUGACAUAGUAAGAACUUUCCAGAGAUGGAUUGGUGCCUUCGGGAACUUACAUACAGGUGCUGCAUGGCUGUCGUCAGCUCGUGUCGUGAGAUGUUGGGUUAAGUCCCGCAACGAGCGCAACCCUUUUCCUUAUUUGCCAGCGAGUAAUGUCGGGAACUUUAAGGAUACUGCCAGUGACAAACUGGAGGAAGGCGGGGACGACGUCAAGUCAUCAUGGCCCUUACGGCCAGG
rnacentral:rRNA from 1 species